UAGUAAAUUAAUUAUCUGACAGAGAUGAUGGUACUGCCUCCCCUGAUAGGAGGUGUGUAUAGUAAAUUAUCUGACAGAGAUGAUGGUACUGCCUCCCCUGAUAGGAAGUGUGUGUAUAGUAAAUUAUCUGACAGAGAUGAUGGUACUGCCUCCCCUGAUAGGAGGUGUGUAUAGUAAAUUAUCUGACAGAGAUGAUGGUACGACCUCCCCUGAUAGGAGGUGUGUGUAUAGUAAUUAUCUUACAGAGAUGAUGGUACGGCCAUUCUGUUUGAUCCUCUGUUGUAGCUCAGCUCCCGAAACACAGAGGGUGCUUCCUAAAUGGUGUCUCAUUCCGUAUAUAAUUCCCUAUGGGCCCUAGGCAACAGUAAUGCACUACAUAUCGUACCAUUUGAGACAAUGCCAUAGGGUAUUUAUUUAACUAAGCAAGUCAGUUAAGAACACAUUUAUCUUUACAAUGAUGGCCUACCCCGGCCUAACCCUCCCCUAACCCGGACGACGCUGGGACAAUUGUGCGCCGCCCCUAUGGUCGACCACGGCCGGUUGCGAUACAGCCCGCGAUCCAACCUGGGUCUAUAGUGACGCCUCUAGCACUGCGACGCAGUGCCUUAGGCCGCUGCGCCGCUCGGUCACAACUAACAGGACUCUUCCUGUACGGCUCUAAUUUGAAUCUCCACACUGAGAUAUUAGAUGUUUGAAUGUGUGAGAGCUGAAAGUAAGAGGUUCCCUCCCACAGGUCAAGAAGGUAGCCUAGCGGUUAGAGAGGCCAGCCAGCCACCGGAGGAUUGCCGGGUCUAACAGGACCGGAAGGGAAACAAUCUGUGGGGAUGUGAACUUAAAACCAGAGGGUUGCUGAUUUAAAAUCCGAGAUAACGUUGCCUGAUGUUGUGCCCUUGAGUAAGGCACUGAAACCCCCCACAACAACUGCUUCACAGAUGCCCAGUGAAGUCAGUCCCCUGCUCCAACCUCAAAUAAACAGCAAACCUGGUUUCAAACAACAGAUAAAGCAAGAUCACCUAGCUCGUUGGUGUGUACAGUACGUAUUGACAUUGAUUUGUAGGCUACGUGUGACUUUUUAUAGAAUUUUUAUCUGUCCUUGAGCUGCUCUUGUCUUUUAAUGUCCGUAUGAUGUCAUGGUUCAUGUUCUGUGUUGGACCCCAGGAAGAGUUGCUGCUUCUGUCACAACAGCUAAUGGGGAUCCUAAUUAAAAACAAAUACCAAAUACCAUGUCUGUAACAGUCCCCUGCUCCAACCUCUAUACUGUAUGUCUGUAACAGUCCCCUGGUCCAACAUCUAUACUGUAUGUCUGUAACAGUCCCCUGGUCCAACAUCUAUAUGCAUGUAACAGUCCCCUGCUCCAACAUCUAUACUGUAUAUCUGUAACAGUCCCCUGCUCCAACAUCUAUACUGUAUAUCUGUAACAGUCCCCUGCUCCAACAUCUAUAUGUCUGUAACAGUCCCCUGCUCCAACAUCUAUAUGUCUGUAACAGUCCCCUACUCCAACAUCUAUAUGUCU
rnacentral:lncRNA from 13 species